UGCUCACCUCGUUCCUCAGGGGCCACCUGGACAGGUUCAGGUGGGCUGGAAGGGGAGGGGGGGUCUGGCAGCAUCUGCUUCGGCUGCUCUCGUGUCUCUGAAAGAACUGG